CCUACGGGUGGCAGCAGUGAGGAAUAUUGGUCAAUGGACGAGAGUCUGAACCAGCCAAGUAGCGUGAAGGAUGACUGCCCUAUGGGUUGUAAACUUCUUUUAUAUGGGAAUAAAAUGUUCCACGUGUGGGAUUUUGUAUGUACCAUAUGAAUACGGAUCGGCUAACUCCGUGCCAGCAGCCGCGGUAAUACGGAGGAUCCGAGCGUUAUCCGGGUUUAUUGGGUUUAGAGGGAGCGUAGGUGGAUUGUUAAGUCAGUUGUGAAAGUUUGCGGCUCAACCGUAAAAUUGCAGUUGAAACUGGCAGUCUUGAGUACAGUAGAGGUGGGCGGAAUUCGUGGUGUAGCGGUGAAAUGCUUAGAUAUCACGAAGAACUCCGAUUGCGAAGGCAGUUCACUGGACUGCAACUGACACUGAGGCUCGAAAGUGUGGGUAUCAAACAGGAUUAGAUACCCGAGUAGUC
rnacentral:rRNA from 1 species